rnacentral:rRNA from 1 species
UACGGGGGGGGCAAGCGUUGUUCGGAAUUACUGGGCGUAAAGGGCGCGUAGGCGGCCUGCUGAGUCACACGUGAAAUCCCUCGGCUCAACCGGGGAACUGCGUGUGAUACUGGCGGGCUUGAAUUCGGGAGAGGGAUGUGGAAUUCCAGGUGUAGCGGUGAAAUGCGUAGAUAUCUGGAGGAACACCGGUGGCGAAGGCGGCAUCCUGGACCGAGAUUGACGCUGAGGCGCGAAAGCUAGGGGAGCAAACGGG